rnacentral:rRNA from 1 species
CCUACGGGAGGCAGCAGUGGGGAAUAUUGGACAAUGGGCGAAAGCCUGAUCCAGCAAUUCCGCGUGUGUGAAGAAGGCCUUCGGGUUGUAAAGCACUUUAGUGGGGGAAGAAACAGCUUGGCCACACCAAGCCUUGACGGUACCCCAAGAAUAAGCACCGGCUAACUCUGUGCCAGCAGCCGCGGUAAUACAGAGGGUGCAAGCGUUAAUCGGAUUUACUGGGCGUAAAGGGUGCGUAGGUGGCUAUUUAAGUCGGAUGUGAAAGCCCGGGGCUCAACCUCGGAAUUGCAUUCGAUACUGAGUGGCUAGAGUUCGGUAGAGGGCGGCGGAAUUUCCGGUGUAGCGGUGAAAUGCGUAGAUAUCGGAAGGAACAUCAAUGGCGAAGGCAGCCGCCUGGGCCUGGACUGACACUGAGGCACGAAAGCGUGGGUAGCAAACAGGAUUAGAUACCCUGGUAGUCCACGCCGUAAACGAUGAGAACUUGACGUUGGUUCGUUUUACGAAUCGGUGCCGCAGCUAACGCGAUAAGUUCUCCGCCUGGGGGAGGUACGGCCGCGAGGUUAGUAAACGUUAAAGGUAAAGUUAGACGGCGUGAGACGUGCCGAACGGACGACGACGAGGGAGGUAGG